rnacentral:tRNA from 1 species
AUGUCAUGUUUUUUAGCUAUAUGCCUCUUUUUUUUUUUUUUUGCCAUACCAUGCAGCAGGUGGUGUAUUAGUUCCCCAACCGGGGAUCAAACCCAAAUCCCCCUGCAUUGGAAGCAUGGAGUCUUCUGGACCACUGCUGGACCACUGAGGAAGUCUCUGUCUGUGCCAUUUUUGAUUUCUCAUAUUGGCGACCAUUGGAAUCUAGUGGGAGAUUGUAAUCAUGGUUGUCACUUCAACUAUGUGGCUUCAACUAUGACAGUGGCAGUUGAACUGAAGAAAGGAGGUGGGCUUGCCAUAGUUGAGGAAGACAGAGACUGGAGGUGGCUCUUGGAUCCGUCUGAGUUGGGGACUAGGAGAUAAGUUCCCACAGGUCCCUGGAGUGGUAAUCCUCUGGAAGCAGUGGCUGUGGGCCGGGCACUGAGUCGGACUCAGACUCUGCCCCUCAAGUUCCCAAUCUGAUCUGCAGGAGACGGGACAUGAGGGGUCCCAGCCCAGGGUGAUGGAUGUUCAAAAGGGAGACACACAGGGCCAGGAGGGAGGCACACAGAGGGGCGCACACCUAAGUCUGCUUCAACCGCAAGGUGACAUCUAAGCUGAGUCCUUCAAUAAAUAUUGACAGCACCCAUGAGUACCUUCUGUC